UACGGAGGGUGCGAGCGUUGUCCGGAAUCAUUGGGCGUAAAGGGCGCGUAGGCGGCGUGUCAAGUCAGGCGUGAAAGCCCCGGGCUCAACCUGGGAACCGCGCUUGAGACUGGCAUGCUCGAGUUCGGGAGAGGAUGGUGGAAUUCCCAGUGUAGAGGUGAAAUUCGUAGAUAUUGGGAAGAACACCGGUGGCGAAGGCGGCGACCUGGUCCGUUACUGACGCUGAGGCGCGACAGCGUGGGGAGCAAACAGG
rnacentral:rRNA from 1 species